GACGAACGCUGGCGGCGUGCUUAACACAUGCAAGUCGAACGGAAAGGCCCUGCUUUUGUGGGGCGCUCGAGUGGCGAACGGGUGAGUAACACGUGAGUAACCUGCCCUUGACUUUGGGAUAACUUCAGGAAACUGGGGCUAAUACCGGAUAGGAGCUCCUGCUGCAUGGUGGGGGUUGGAAAGUUUCGGCGGUUGGGGAUGGACUCGCGGCUUAUCAGCUUGUUGGUGGGGUAGUGGCUUACCAAGGCUUUGACGGGUAGCCGGCCUGAGAGGGUGACCGGCCACAUUGGGACUGAGAUACGGCCCAGACUCCUACGGGAGGCAGCAGUGGGGAGUAUGGCACAAUGGGCGGAAGCCUGAUGCAGCAACGCCGCGUGCGGGAUGACGGCCUUCGGGUUGUAAACCGCUUUCGCCUGUGACGAAGCGUGAGUGACGGUAAUGGGUAAAGAAGCACCGGCUAACUACGUG
rnacentral:rRNA from 1 species